UCUAUUCCAUGAGGUGCGGUCGCGGCCCUCGGCGGGAGCAAAACUGCCACCGGGAGGUAGAGGUAACACUUUCACGCGCCGCAUGUCUGAAUCCUUUUUUUACGAGCACCUUUCGUUCUCCUUCGGCGGGGCAACCUGCCGUUGGAACCCAUCAAAACCUUUUUUUGCAUCUAGCAUUACCUGUUCUGAUACAAACAAUCGUUA
rnacentral:misc_RNA from 1 species